UGUGCAUAUAGCACAAAAAGGUCAAGGACAGGUACAUUUUGGGAAGUUUAUUUUAGCAAAUAUAGCAAAGUAUAGGUACAUACAAAAGCAUAUUUUUCCUAUCUGCAAUAUCUUACCUAAGUUUUUGCAGCCCCAGGUAUCAAAUUAAUAGUCAGCCUCCUGGAAUAGACAUCCCUAUAUCCUCGUUCUCACUUCCAUUAUAGAACACUUACAUGUUGAAUGUGACCUAUAAGCCCACUGGAUCCCAAAAGUCCAAAAACCAUUCCACAUAUGCUGUCAUCUCUUACUGAAAAAGUUUGUUUACCCUGUGCAUCUGACCCAAUUAUUUGUCCAUUUCCAUC